CAAUAAUUCCCCUUCCUUCACACCUCACCAAUUUCAGAUCGACGUCCCGGCCGCGCCCCUGCUCCCACGCUCACCCGCGUGCGCCGCCGCCGCCGCCGCCGUCCCCAGCUGCGCGUGGGUCCCCGGCCGGCCCUCGCCCCGCGAGCUCUGCCACGCGUCGCGUCAUCAUCCUGUUCUGCAGUGCCGCACGGCUCGUCGUCCUCGCGUCCCCCGCGCCGCACCGGUGCAUCGUCCCCAGCGGCCUCCCCGACACAACGCCUGCCCCUGCCGCCCCGACUCAUCGUCCUCGGCCGUCCCCGGCCCUUGAGGGAGAGCCUCAUGGAGGCCACGUCGGGGGCAAUCGGCGUGCUCAGCAACACCAUCGUGCUCUACCCGCUCGACAUGUGCAAGCCCAAGCUCCAGGCCGAGCUCCAAACACACAAGGGCAUGCACAAGUACAGGUGAUCAGAGGAUGGAAGGAUGCAAUUUCUUGAUAAACUGAACUUGUGUAGCAAGAACGGGCAGAAACAAAAAGGGCGAGAGAGUGCAUUACAGGAAUAUGGAUGAAUUUCACAUCAAUGAACACAAUUCUUACCGAAAUGCUUUUCCAUACUAAUUUUAGUAUAUGUCAGUGAUCUUUUAAAUAGCUACUGAAUUUUUUUUAACUCGGGAACGGCGCAGACAAGGGCGGCUCGACCCUGUCCAAGCUUGGCUCCAACUCGAUUGCGCAGCUCUACCCCAAGGUCGCCCAAUCUAUGUCAAUUUUCAUAUUCAGAAUUAUGUUUCAUUCAUUAGUCAUCCCUGCAUUUGUGUUGUCUCUUGGUCUGUGCUCUAUAAUCUAGGUGGGGGAUUGAAAUGCCCGCGAUCUUCGCCCGGUCAAUCUUGAUCCUGUCGGACGCAGGGCUUGGGAUGGCAAUGUUCAGUCUAGGCUUGUUCAUGGCAUUGCAGCUGCAAAUCAUUGCCUGUGGGAACAAACUCGCUGCAUUUGCGAUGGCUGUUCUGUUCCUCAUGGGUCCAGCGGUCAUGGCUGCUGCUUCCAUAGCUGUAGGGCUGCGCGGAGCUCUUCUGCACAUAGCCAUUGUUCAGGUACUUGCUCGGGGACAGUGAGGGAUUUCGUUCAGUUUGUGAAUCUGAUCAGGUGUUUCUGAAUUUGGUUGAAUUAAUUAGCAUGUACAAAUUAUUUUGAACUUGAACUGUAUGGCUUCUGAAUUGAAUUCAGCAUGGCACAGACCAGGAGUGUGCUUCACUUUCUUUGGUGUUUUGUUUACAUGAUAUAUAUGGAAGCACGCUAAGUAUACAUAUUACAUGUGUUAUUUUUUGUGCGCGUAGCGUUAGCACGGGCCAACUUACUAGUAAUUUGUAAUAUCUCAAGUACUUUUGAACU